rnacentral:hammerhead_ribozyme from 1 species
AUCCAGCUGACGAGUCCCAAAUAGAACGAAAGAGGCGUCCUGGAU